AUUCUCCUACCAUGUGCCGACUAACAGACAUGAAUUUCAGCUGGUAGUUAAAGUUUUCACAGCAGACACACAUCACUGAGCUGGAAGAUACAUUCUGAGACAGAAUGUUGAUACCCACAUCUCUCCAAAAGGGAUCCUCCAGCUACAAAUGACUAUCUGUUUCCUUGAGGGGGGACCAAGACUUAAUGAACCAGCUUUGCUGUUUGGGG